UAUGGAUAUAAAAAUAUAAUAUAUAUUUUUUUAUAUAUAUAUAUAUAUAUUUAAAAAAUAAUCUCCCCAGAAAGUACUAUAAAAUGACAAGUUUGGAGCUUUUAUUUAAUUUUUAGUCGACCCUGGCUUGCUUCUUCCGGCUGAGUUCGUCUGUAGGACCAAGGGGCUCUAGCCCCACCAGCCCAAUGCAAUGUGUAAUGGACUGGAAACAUUGAAAUGCGCAUGCUCAGAGUGUUUCUCUGUUGAAGUCAUGGACAUAUUGGUUGAAGUGAACGGAGAUUAUUUUUCUUCCUGGUGGGGCCAUGGACAUAUUAUAGUGGUGGGGCUAGCCGCUAGCCCAAUAUGUCCAUGUGUGACCCCUUAUGUUUUUUUUCAUGCCGACCAAUAAAAAUCAACAGUGUUACCCCUUAUGUUUUUUUUCAUGACGACCGAUAAAAAACAACAGUCUUACCCCUUGUGUUGUUUUUCAUGACGACUGAUAAAAAACGACAGUGUUACCCCAUAUGGUUUUUU